GGACGAACGCUGGCGGCGUGCUUAACACAUGCAAGUCGAACGAUGAUGCCCAGCUUGCUGGGCGGAUUAGUGGCGAACGGGUGAGUAAUACGUGAGUAACCUGCCCUUGACUCUGGGAUAAGCCUGGGAAACUGGGUCUAAUACUGGAUACUACCUCUUACCGCAUGGUGGGUGGUGGAAAGGGUUUUACUGGUUUUGGAUGGGCUCACGGCCUAUCAGCUUGUUGGUGGGGUAAUGGCUCACCAAGGCGACGACGGGUAGCCGGCCUGAGAGGGUGACCGGCCACACUGGGACUGAGACACGGCCCAGACUCCUACGGGAGGCAGCAGUGGGGAAUAUUGCACAAUGGGCGGAAGCCUGAUGCAGCGACGCCGCGUGAGGGAUGACGGCCUUCGGGUUGUAAACCUCUUUCAGUAGGGAAGAAGCGAGAGUGACGNACCUGCAGAAGAG
rnacentral:rRNA from 1 species